rnacentral:lncRNA from 1 species
CCGAAGGAAAAUCAGUGGCAGCCUGCUUCAUCUACUGCUGUCGGCCGGAGAUCUGAGGGAGAGGCGGCGAGGCAAGGGCCUUGUCGCUGCUCUGAGCCGGGUUUGGGUAGAAAUGAAGGCAGCGUCCUUCAUCGACUGGAGGCGCGAUCGCCGGAGACCGAUAGAGAGGGAGAUCGGAGAAAGUUUCGAGGGAGAUAAGAGACGGCGGUGGCUGUCGUUGCAGUAGCCGAAAAAGGGUGAAGUGAGCUGGAGCCCGUCGCCGCUUGCUCCGGCGAGCUCCAGCGGCCGUGAGUUCGAGCAGUCGAGAGGGAGACGAGCAGUGAGGGACAGUGAGAGACUGAUG